GCUGUGCUGUGUAAGCGCUAUAGAUUUGG
rnacentral:piRNA from 1 species